GCCAGACCACCCUGAACGCGCCUAGUCUCGUCUGAUCUCAGAAGCUAAGCAGGGUCAGGCCUAUUUAGUACUUGGAUGGGAGAAAUUAAUUAGUACUUUAGGUCCUGGCA
rnacentral:rRNA from 1 species